rnacentral:rRNA from 1 species
AAUAUACAAGGUGCUGCAUGGUUGUCGUCAGCUCGUGCCGUGAGGUGUCGGGUUAAGUCCCAUAACGAGCGCAACCCUAUCAUAGUUGCCAUCAGGUCAAGCUGGGGACUCUAAUGAAACUGCCUACGCAAGUAGUGAGGAAGGUGGGGAGUGACGUCAAAUCAGCACGGCCCUUACGUCCAGGGCUACACACGUGCUACAAUGGCCGGUACAAAGGGCAGCUACCUGGUGACAGGAUGCUAAUCUCAAAAGCCGGUCUCAGUUCGGAUCGGAGUCCGCAACCCGACUCCGUGAAGCUGGAAUCGCCAGUAAUCGCGCAUCAGCCAUGGCGCGGUGAAUACGUUCCCGGGCCUU